rnacentral:tRNA from 1 species
GGCCCUAUAGUGUAGCCUGGAUAUCACAGAGGCUUGCGGAGCCUCGAACCCGUGUUCGAAUCGCGGUGGGGCCGCCA